CUGAACGCCUCUAAGUCAGAAUCCGUGCUAGAAACGAUGAUGUUGGUCCCGCACAUGUUAGAUGUGUCAAAAUAGAGCGCAAGCUCGUGAACCAUACCUGACGGUCCUGCCCGUCCUGGCGGAAAUGCCGGGGCGGUCUUCCGUGAAUCGAAAUUUCAAUAUGCGCGGGGGUGAAUCCUUUGCAGACGACUUGAAUGGGAACGGGGUGCUGUAAGCAGUAGAGUAGUCUUGUUACUACGAUCUGCUGAGGCUAAGCCCUUGUUCUAUAGAUUUGUUCAAC
rnacentral:rRNA from 2 species